GGAAACCCUCCCCGGAAAGGAUUAGCUAUCCACCGGUAGCGAGUUUUGGGAUGCGAGGAGUAAUCCUUGUCGUUAAGCGUAAACAGUUAGGCAACAGGCCUGUAAUGUGAUUGAGCCCCGUUAUGAAUCUUAAAAUGGAGAGGCUGACAGUUUUUUUUGCACACUGGAAGGCAAAAUUUUCAUAAACGUUAAAGCGAGUUUAUGGAAACUCUCCCGGGGUCUGAGAGCC
rfam:Peptococcaceae bacterium BRH_c23 BRHa_1006489, whole genome shotgun sequence.